UUUUUUUUCAACUUAAGUAUUUGUUUUCCCUAAAUGUAAAAUGUAAAACAUGAUUUUGUCUUGAAACUUCCUUUUUUUUCCCUUUCUGUACUGUUGUUUUCUUUUCUACUUUAAGAAAACAACAGUUUAGCUGCAGCAGAAAACUGUCAUGAAACAGGGACAUCAUGAUGUCAGCACAGUGCUAAAGGAGUAGUAAAGCUAUUUUUGCAUUUCCAGUGAAAUUAAACAACCAGUUUGGAGGGACAAAUGCAAUUUCAAAUUGAUAGAAUCCACAAAGUAAACUGCCAUCACUGAAGGAUAAAUGAGAUUUCUUUGAAACAGCAUCUUACAGCUCAAAUGCAUUUUUUAUUGUGUAGGUGACCUAUUCAAAUCCAAGACUACAUGUUUUUUGGCUGUACCAUCCCAUGAAAAGAAAAUAUGUUUGAAGUCUUGUCCAUCCUUCAUCCUGAGACAUUUGGUAAAGUUAAAAUCUUUCUCCAAUCAUUGAUGAAACCACUAAAAACUCAUCUCUUUGUAUCAAAGUUACAUAUAUGAAAACUUUUUCCAUGAAAACGCAUAAUUUGCUUUGUUUUAAAUGGUUUAGAUGUAACUCUACUCUUUCCUACAAUGUAUGGUUCUAUGAAGUCUCUGUCUUUCUACAUUUUUUUCAGCCUUUAUUUAACCAGAUUAAAAAAAAAAAAAACCAUUUAAAAUCACCUGCAGGAGCACACUGGAUGAUGCUAGUGUGGCAACACCAUCCAGUUUGCUAGCAGAGGUCCAGGCUGUAGCAGGUGGAAGGCCAGGCUGAAGCUAGCAGGCUGUGGAAGCCCAGGUUGAAGCUAGCAGAGGUCCAGGCUGGAGCAGGUGGAAGCCCAGGCUGAAGCUAGCAGAGGUCCAGGCUGGAGAAGGUGGAAGGCCAGGCUGAAGCUAGCAGGCUGUGGAAGGCCAGGCUGAAGCUAGCAGGCUGUGGAAGCCCAGGCUGAAGCUAGCAAAAGUCCAGGCUGUAGCAGGAGGAAUGCCGGUAGAUUUUAAAGUCCAUAAAAGCAGUCGGGAAAGCUCCUUUUGGAUGUGAAAGUAAAGCUUCCUUGGACAACUGUUUAGCUUAAAACUGACUAAAAACACACUAAAACAGAUGUGAAUUCAGAGCACACUGACAAGCAGACAAACAAAGGACAGUGCUGGCGGCCAUCUUCUCCACUUAAUGCAGCCCGUGCACACCAGCUUACCUACAACUCUGCUCAAGCGCUGUAUAACUACCCAAUGCAAUACACAUACUAACUGGAUGCUGAUUCUGAACAAAGCUCUGUUACGGUUGGCUACUUAUGUCUGUUACAUCUAAAACUCUGGACGUUUGAAUCUGUGUUUUUGAGAAAGUUAUCAGAAUACUGCAGUUUCAAGGUGGAAAUAUUCAGUCAUGGCAUUGGCUGCUUAUUUCAUACAUGAUAUGUCUGGCAUUUUAAAAAAUGCUACAUAGACUUUUUGUCAUUAGAAAAGGUCUAAAAAUGCUUUGAUCCCCAGAACAUUUUAAAAUAAAGCUAUGAGGCUUUGACUAGACUGCAUGAGUUUGUGCUGAUUGUUG
ensembl:lncRNA